rnacentral:lncRNA from 1 species
CACCAGCCCAUCAAAGGCCAAACUCCACAAGCCCAGAGGAGCACAGUGCCAGUACCAAAUGCAGUUAAAUAUCUGAACUAUAGCAGAGAGACUGAAUCAAUAACUGUUACUUGGCCACCAGCCCAAAAUAAAUUUGAUGGAUAUGUUCUUUCAAUAAACAGCAAGAUCUUCAACAAAGAGAAAAUAUUAUCUUCCGGUGUAAGCAUAUACAAAUUUGAGAAUCUUCAGCCAGGCACUGAUUUCUUAAUCAGUAUUGUGACAACCAAUGGACUAAAAAGAAGUCGUCCCACCAUACUCAAGAUUAGCACCUGUAUGUUCACAGUUUAUUAAUAACUUUUAGUGAUAUGUAGGGUUGUUACAUUUUAAUGUAUUGUCCAAGAAAAGCUAUUUCUUAUUAAAUCAGUGCAUG